GAUAAGAACGUAGCGAAAUGCGAUAAGUAAUGUGAAUUGCAGAAUUCAGUGAAUCAUCGAAUCUUUGAACGCACAUUGCGCCCCUUGGUAUUCCGAGGGGCAUGCCUGUUCGAGCGUCAUAUUAACCACUCCCGCUUGCGGGGUCUUGGGCUUCGCCUCCGGGCGGGCCUUAAAAUCAGUGGCGGUGCCGUCGGGCUCUACGCGUAGUAAAUUUUCUCGCGAUAGGGUCCCGGUGGAUGCUUGCCAACAACCCCCAACUUCUUAAGGUUGACCUCGGAUCAGGUAGGGAUACCCGCUGAACUUAAGCAUAUCAAUAAGCGGAGGA
rnacentral:misc_RNA from 1 species